CGAGGCGUAGCGCAGUUGGUAGCGCGCAUGGUUCGGGACCAUGAGGUCGCGUGUUCGAAUCACGUCGCCUCGACCA
rnacentral:tRNA from 1 species